UCAUUUUUAGUUCUUGAGCUAGUCUUUAUAACUUGAUCGGUUAGUCAAUUGCUUUUAAAUUUGUGAGGAUUAGAAGUCAAUUUUUAUCAGAGAGUAGAGAUUCUAGUUAGAUUUGUGUACUUAAUUUUAAAUUUAUUUUAAAAAUUUUCAGAAAUAAAUUAGACUCUCACUAUUCUCACAGAUCUCUCACACUCUCCUGUGA
rnacentral:lncRNA from 1 species